rnacentral:rRNA from 1 species
GACGAACGCUGGCGGCGUGCUUAACACAUGCAAGUCGAACGGAAAGGCCCUGCUUUUGUGGGGUGCUCGAGUGGCGAACGGGUGAGUAACACGUGAGUAACCUGCCCUUGACUUUGGGAUAACUUCAGGAAACUGGGGCUAAUACCGGAUAGGAGCUCCUGCUGCAUGGUGGGGGUUGGAAAGUUUCGGCGGUUGGGGAUGGACUCGCGGCUUAUCGGCUUGUUGGUGAGGUAGUGGCUUACCAAGGCUUUGACGGGUAGCCGGCCUGAGAGGGUGACCGGCCACAUUGGGACUGAGAUACGGCCCAGACUCCUACGGGAGGCAGCAGUGGGGAAUAUUGCACAAUGGGCGGAAGCCUGAUGCAGCAACGCCGCGUGCGGGAUGACGGCCUUCGGGUUGUAAACCGCUUUCGCCUGUGACGAAGCGUGAGUGACGGUAAUGGGUAAAGAAGCACCGGCUAACUACGUG